GACGAACGCUGGCGGCGUGCUUAACACAUGCAAGUCGAACGGUGAAGCCCUUCGGGGUGGAUCAGUGGCGAACGGGUGAGUAACACGUGAGCAACCUGCCCCUGGCUCUGGGACAACCACUGGAAACGGUGGCUAAUACCGGAUACGACCCGCCUCGGCAUCGCGUGUGGGUGGAACGUUUUUCGGCUGGGGAUGGGCUCGCGGCCUAUCAGCUUGUUGGUGAGGUGAAGGCUCACCAAGGCGACGACGGGUAGCCGGCCUGAGAGGGCGACCGGCCACACUGGGACUGAGACACGGACCAGACUCCUACGGGAGGCAGCAGUGGGGAAUAUUGCACAAUGGGCGAAAGCCUGAUGCAGCGACGCCGCGUGAGGGAUGACGGCCUUCGGGUUGUAAACCUCUUUCAGCUCCGAAGAAGCGAAAGUGACGGUAGGAGCAGAAGAAGCACCGGCUAACUACGUG
rnacentral:rRNA from 1 species